GGUAGUGUGGCCGGGCGGUCUAAGGCGCUGGAUUUAGGCUCCAGUCUCUCUGGGGCGUGGGUUCAAAUCCACCACUGCCA
rnacentral:tRNA from 1 species